UUGAACGCUGGCGGCAGGCCUAACACAUGCCAGUCGAGCGGAUGAAGGGAGCUUGCUCCUGGAUUCAGCGGCGGACGGGUGAGUAAUGCCUAGGAAUCUGCCUGGUAGUGGGGGAUAACGUCCGGAAACGGGCGCUAAUACCGCAUACGUCCUGAGGGAGAAAGUGGGGGAUCUUCGGACCUCACGCUAUCAGAUGAGCCUAGGUCGGAUUAGCUAGUUGGUGGGGUAAAGGCCUACCAAGGCGACGAUCCGUAACUGGUCUGAGAGGAUGAUCAGUCACACUGGAACUGAGACACGGUCCAGACUCCUACGGGAGGCAGCAGUGGGGAAUAUUGGACAAUGGGCGAAAGCCUGAUCCAGCCAUGCCGCGUGUGUGAAGAAGGUCUUCGGAUUGUAAAGCACUUUAAGUUGGGAGGAAGGGCAGUAAGUUAAUACCUUGCUGUUUUGACGUUACCAACAGAAUAAGCACCGGCUAACUUCGUG
rnacentral:rRNA from 1 species